GAACUGUGCGAACGUUAUUCGGAAUCACUGGGCUUAAAGGGUGCGUAGGCGGCUUCGUAGGGUGGGGGUGUGAAAGCCCUCGGGCUCAACCGAGGGAAUUGCGCUCCAAACCACGGAGCUUGAGGAAGACAGAGGUGAGCGGAACUGAUGGUGGAGCGGUGAAAUGCGUUGAUAUCAUCAGGAACACCGGUGGCGAAAGCGGCUCACUGGGUCUUUUCUGACGCUGAGGCACGAAAGCUAGGGGAGCGAACGGGAUUAGAUACCCCGGUAGUCCUAGCUGUAAACGAUGAGCACUAGUCCGUGGGGGCUCCCACACCCUCUCGGACGUAGCGAAAGUGUUAAGUGCUCCGCCUGGGGAGUAUGGUCGCAAAGGCUG
rnacentral:rRNA from 1 species